rnacentral:rRNA from 1 species
AGUGAACGCUGGCGGUAGGCCUAACACAUGCAAGUCGAACGGCAGCACAGUAAGAGCUUGCUCUUACGGGUGGCGAGUGGCGGACGGGUGAGGAAUACAUCGGAAUCUACUUUUUCGUGGGGGAUAACGUAGGGAAACUUACGCUAAUACCGCAUACGACCUACGGGUGAAAGCAGGGGAUCUUCGGACCUUGCGCGAUUGAAUGAGCCGAUGUCGGAUUAGCUAGUUGGCGGGGUAAAGGCCCACCAAGGCGACGAUCCGUAGCUGGUCUGAGAGGAUGGUCAGCCACACUGGAACUGAGACACGGUCCAGACUCCUACGGUAGGCAGCAGUGGGGAAUGUUGGACAAUGGGCGCAAGCCUGAUCCAGCCAUACCGCGUGGGUGAAGAAGGCCUUCGGGUUGUAAAGCCCUUUUGUUGGGAAAGAAAAGCAGCAGGUUAAUACCCCGCUGUUCUGACGGUACCCAAAGAAUAAGCACCGGCUAACUUCGUG